rnacentral:tRNA from 2 species
CAGGGCGUAGCUACAACAUAAAGCAUUCAGCUUACACCUGAAAGAUAUCUGCUACCCCCAGAUCACCCUGA